GAGAGACUCGGCUUGCCUCCCAGCUCCACACAAGCUCACUGUCCCGGCAGAGCCAAACACCAAGAGCAAACUCCGGCAUCCUCCCUCCUCCAAACUCCUCGAACUUCCAGCCCUAGUUUCGCAGCAAAAUGGACCCCAGUCCAGAAGAGAAGAGAAGAGAAGAGAAGAGAAGAGAAGAGAAGAGAAGAGAAGAGAAGAGAAGAGAAGAGAAGAGCUUAUUUUUAAUUCAAUACUUAACCUCCUUUGAGAAAUCUUAAGGACAAAAACCUACUGUUAAUAGGAGAAAUAUGAGCCUGAAACAACUAAUAAAGUUGAUGUCAGUCCAGUCGUAAAUUGCCAGAGAUUUGCUGGAUUUCAGAAAA